rnacentral:rRNA from 1 species
ACGUAGGAGACAAACGUUAUCCGGAGUUACUGGGCGUAAAGGGCGUGUAGGUGGUUUUGUAAGUCUGGCGUGAAAUUUUUCGGCUUAACCGGGAAAGGUCGUCGGAUACUGCAAGGCUAGAGGACGGUAGAGGCGUGUGGAAUUCCGGGUGUAGUGGUGAAAUGCGUAGAGAUCCGGAGGAACACCAGUGGCGAAGGCGACACGCUGGGCCGUACCUGACACUGAUGCGCGACAGCAUGGGGAGCAAACAGG